rnacentral:lncRNA from 10 species
AUUUUUAUAUUUUAUUUUUUUAUAGAGACGGGAUUUCACCAUGUUUCCCAGGCUGUUCUCAAACUCCUGGACUCAAGCGAUCCUCCCGCCUUGGCCUCCCACAGUGCUGGGAUGACAGGCGUGAGCCACCGCGCUGGCCCGGGCUGUGCAUUUGUUUGCAUUCUUCUCAAAUUAGUUUUCAGUUUCCCUGAUGGUCUCUUUGACUCACUGGUUGUUUAGGAGUGUGCAAUUUCCACAUAUUUUUGAAUUUCUCACAUUUCCUUCACUGUUGAUUUCCAGUUUCGUGCCAGUACAGCUGAAGAACACCUCUGCUUUGGUCUCAGUCCUUCUCCAUUCACUGAGGCUCAUUUUGUGGCCUGGCACAUGGUCUGUUAUGGGGAAUGUCCCAUGGGUGCUCGAGAGGACUGUGUAUUCAGCUGUUGUUGGGUGGUGUGUGUAACAGAUGUCCAUUCGGCGUACCUGGUUUCCUGUGUUAAUCUCUGGAAUGUUUCUGUCACUAGAAAAUCAGAAACUUUCCACCGAUCCCAGCGCCCUGGCUUUGGGAGAGGCCAGUGAGCCUGUGGCUUGGGAGCCUGGUUGCAUGAGAGAAGCAUGUGUGGGAAUGCCAGGGCCCGGCUUUGAACCCCAUUCCCCCAACAUGAUGCCCGAUGUGGCAGACAUGACGCUUGGCUUUGCUCUCUCAGGGUUCCAUCUGCGACAGGGGCUACUUGUGCCCCCGGCCUCAUCAGCUCAGGCUGAAGGCGGCCCUGGUCCUGGCCAGAGGGGCUUUGUGAAGCAGAAAUAGAUGGCCUGGUGCAGGGGCCGAGCCUGUCCAGGACCUCGGCCCUGGGAGGUGUAAAGAAGGCCGGCCUCUACCAUGAGCAUCUGCACCAAGGCCAGCUGUGGGCCGUCCAGCGGCUGUGCUACUUCUACAGCACCGUCAUGCCCAGCGAGGCCCAGUGUGUCAUCUACCAUGAGCUCCAGCUCUCCCUGGCCCGCAAGGUGGCCGACAAGGUGCUGGAGGGGCAGCUCCUGGAGACCAUCAGUUAGCUCUACCUCUCCCUGGGUACCGAGUGGGCCUACAAAUCCACUCUGGACUACACUAAAUGAAGUCUGGGGAUUUUCGUUGACCUUCAGAAGAAAGAGAAGGAGGCGCAUGCCUGGCUGCAAGCAGGGAAGAUCUAUUACGGCCUGCAGCAGAGCGAGCUGGUGGACCUGUACAUCCAGGUGGCACAGAAUGUGGUCCUGUACACAGGUGACUCCAACUUGGGGCUGGAGCUGUUUGAGGCAGCUGGAGACAUCUUCAAUGGGGCCUGGGAGCAGGAGAAAGCCGUGUCCUUCUACCGGUGACUACGGGCAACCGCAGGGUGGAGCUGCAGCUACAGCUGCGCAACAAGCUGGUGGCACUCCUGGCCACACGGGAGAAGCCCCAGGAGGGCUUGGAGUUUGCCUACGUGGCCCUAGCACUCAGCAUCACUCUGGGGGACCAGCUGAACGAGCGCACGGCCUACCACCGGCUGGCCGCCCUGCACCAUCGGCUGGGCCAUGGCAAGCUGGCGAAGCACUUCUACCUCAAGGCCCUGUAGCUCUGCAACUCGCCGCUGGAGUUCGACGAGGAGACCCUCUACUUCGUGAAGGUGUACCUGGUGCUCGGUGACAUCAUCUUCUAUGACCUGAAGGUGGGUGGCAGGGGCAGGGCUCGGGGUGUUCCCGGCCCCCUUGGAGUGGGAUCUCCACCCAGACCCCAGAGGCCUGUGUUCCAGCCUUCCUUAGGAAUGGCCCAGUGGCCUCCCUGGAGCUCUGCACGCGGCUGGAGGAGCGGGCAAGGUUCGCAGAUACAACCCAGCUCCCAAGCUGGCCAGGCCCCACCCUCAAGAACUCAGUCUCAGCCAGGGAGGCUGACACAUGAGUGGGCAAUGGUGGCCUCUGGGUAAAGAAGGGGGAUUGUAGUCGGGGGGCCCUCCUGGAUGAGGUGACACCAAAGCUGAGUCUUGACAGUCAAGUGUCAAGUUGCAUUUAACAAAGAAAACAGGGUCGGGAGAAGGACAUUUCGGAGGACAGCAUCAUCCUCACAUUAAAUCCAUGUUGCAAGAUCCAACCCAAAUCCUGGCGCCUCCUCUAGGAAGCCUGCCCAGGGUGCCAGCCUGCACUGAGCAACUCCUUCCUGGAGUCCCGAGACACCUUGAAUCUUCACAUCACCCAGGAAGGGUGGGGUGGGACCAGUGUCUUACCAUCGGGUUCACAGACAGGGAAACCCCAUCACAGGGCAGGUGCAGUGGGGCGGGGACCCAGCCAGCCAGGCUGAGGCCUUGCUGGGUCGGGUCUGUCUCGAGGGGAGGUGCUGUGCUCCCUCUGCCCCCAGCCCUGCAGGAGUGGAGAGCUGGGACUGUCAGACUCAGACCUGGGGUGUCUCCACCCCUCUGCCCAGCAGGCACCGCCCCUCCUUAGCAUCUCACCAGCACCGCGUCAGUGCUCCUUAUGGGCUGAGGGGCCAGGGCACUCCAGUCCAGGGGCCGAGAUCUUGGGGGCCUUAGAACAACAUGAGGAGCUGGGGCAGCCCUAAGACCCCGCCCCGUAUCCCCCACUGCAGGCCUGGGGCUGCCCGGGAGGCCUACGCCCAGUGCUGGCGACACCUGGUGGUCAGAAGUGGUCCCUGUGGCCUCCCAAGUCCCAGCUAGACAGGGAGGUGCCAAGUGUCAGACCCAGAGGGACACUGCUCACCGCUCAGGGGCUCACCUGGGACCCAGGGUGACGGGCCUCCCAGAAGAGGCCUUUAUCUCUCUUGGUCAUGCCUUCCGCCCACUCCGCCUGCCCAGGAGGAAGGAAAGGGCCAAGUAGUACCUGAGAGGCCAAAGUCCACGGUUGGGGUUGAGGGGCAGAGGCCUCCUUCACCUCCUUCCCAUGCACAGCCCUC